GAUGAACGCUGGCGGCGUGCCUAAUACAUGCAAGUCGAGCGAACAGACGAGGAGCUUGCUCCUCUGACGUUAGCGGCGGACGGGUGAGUAACACGUGGAUAACCUACCUAUAAGACUGGGAUAACUUCGGGAAACCGGAGCUAAUACCGGAUAAUAUAUUGAACCUCAUGGUUCAAUAGUGAAAGACGGUUUUGCUGUCACUUAUAGAUGGAUCCGCGCCGCAUUAGCUAGUUGGUAAGGUAACGGCUUACCAAGGCAACGAUGCGUAGCCGACCUGAGAGGGUGAUCGGCCACACUGGAACUGAGACACGGUCCAGACUCCUACGGGAGGCAGCAGUAGGGAAUCUUCCGAAAUGGGCGAAAGCUUGACGGAGCAACGCCGCGUGAGUGAUGAAGGUCUUCGGAUCGUAAAACUCUGUUAUUAGGGAAGACCAAAUGUGUAAGUAACUAUGCACGUCUUGUCGGUACCUAAUCAGAAAGCCACGGCUAACUACGUG
rnacentral:rRNA from 1 species